GGGGUUGUGGCUCAGUGAUAGAGCACUUACCUAGCAAGUGUGAGGCCCUGGAUUCAAUCCUCAGCACCACA
rnacentral:tRNA from 1 species